AGGCCUGCAGAGAGAGAAGCAGGGUCUGAUCUCCAGCCUCCAUGGCAGCUGUUUAUCAGCCAUUGCCUCUCUCUUUCUCGCCU
rfam:Myotis brandtii contig235332, whole genome shotgun sequence.